CUCUGUUUUUAAACUUUGAAUUUUUUUAUUAAAGUUUUAUAAAAUUUUUACUAGCAGAGCUUUAAUUCAGAGUCAAGCACUGAGAAAAGUCAAGCAUGUGUCUUACAGACAGCUCUUGUUAAAACCAAGCUUACAAGUAUAACAAAAACUGCGCAUUCAGGAAUAUGAAUUUUUGGGAAUAGGUCCAGUUAGAAAAUAUAGCGGAAUUAAAAUCCUCGUGAAAAUGUUUGCUUUUACAGUACUUUGAGUAGAUUGUAUUUUUAGAUAAGUUGAAUUUAGGGAACAAAGAAGGAAAACUUUUAGUAAUGAUGUAUAUAUAUAUCAGAUAUAGUUGUAUAAUUUGUUACAUCCUGUCUCAUUACAUUUCUUAGUAACUGUAAGAAGGAUAUACUUACACCGGUGCCAUUUUAUUGUUUUGUGAUAAUUAUUCUCAAAUUUCAGUAAGUUGUUAUUAAGUUCCUUAUAUUGUGAAACCAUUUAAAUUCCUGGCAACAAAAUUUUGUGGUAUUGGCCAAAAUUUGCAUUUCGUGGGCAUAUGUGAGGUAAAACGUAUAGGAAUUUAUUUGUUUAUAGGGAUUAAAUUUCAUGAAUCGAAACUAUCACAAAAUCCAUGAAAAUUGGUCCCCCACUGAAUAUUUAAGCCGUGUGAUGAGAAAACUAACAUAGUGACUUUGCGACCAGCAUGGAUCCAGACCAGCCCGCGCAUCCGCGCAGUCUGGUCAGGGUCCAUGCUGUUCGCUUUCAAAAGCUAUUGCAAUUGGAGAAACUGUUAGCGAACAGCAUGGAUCCUGACCAGACUGUGCGGAUGCUCAGGCUGGUCUGGAUCCAUGCAGGUCACAAAGCCACUAUGUUGAUUUUCUCAUGGCGUGGCUUAUUUAUGUUUUCACUGUAUUACUGAACUUCUGAAUGUUAUACAUUUGUAUGUGUUUGUUGUUGUUUUUUUGUAGCAGACGGCACAAUUAUCUUUGUAAUUCUAAAUGCUCUGCAGUUAAAAAAUGAAUAAAUAUGUUUGUUUCAAAAUAUGUUCAUAAAAAUUCCCAUACCUGAUUUUUUAUGUAGAAAGAUAUGGGAAAAAUGAUGUUUUUCUGUCUUUUAAUAUUUCAGGCUGAUAGUAUGUGUUCAGUGCAGUUGUUGAAAAAUUUACCACCACACAAAUGAUUCCUUUAGCGUGAUCUUUAAAUUUUGAAAAAUGAAACCAAAUAAAAAAAAUCUUGUGACAGUAUUUGUGAAUCAGACUGUAGUUUCUUGAUGCCCUAUAAAACAUCGAAAUUUUAUCAACAGUAAGUGCAGCAUUACAUCUGUCAUAUUUGAAUCUGCCUAAAAUGUUACAUACAUAUAUCACAGAAAAGGGAAGUAGCUGCAUAUAUGUAAAUAUUGCAUAUCACAAAAAAAGGGAAGUUACUUUGUUAUUGUGAAGGAAAACAUCUAUGUAAAUAUUGUAUAUCACAGCUAAGGGGAAGCAGCUUUGUAAAUAGUAUGUAUCGCUGCAAAGGAGAAGCUUCAAAGCUACUUUGUCAUUAAUAUUUGUUGAGCCUGCUGGCGGUGAGCUUGACAUAGUUGUCACACUGGCGGUUCGGUGUAUGUGCAUGCGUGCGUGCAUCUGUCCAUCCGAGUUUGUCCGGGCUGUAACUUAUCCAUGGAUCAAGGGAUUCUUAAAUAACUCGGCACAUUUGUUUGCCUCAAUGACACUGAUGUCGCAUGCAAGAACAGAUUGGUAGCUUAAAGGUCAAGGUCAUACUUCGAGGUCAGAGGUCAAAACUCGGUGCUGUUUUGCUUGUCUGUGCCGUAACUCAGCCAUGGAUUGAGAGAUUCUUAAAUACUUUGGCACAAAUGUUCACCUGGAUAAAAUGAUGUGUUAUAUGCAACAACCAGAUUGGUAGCUUAAAGGUCAAGGUCAUACUCUGGGCUGUAACUCAGCUAUGGAUUGAGGGUUUCUUAAAUAACUUGGCACAAUUGUUUGCCUCAAUGAGACAAUUCUGUCAGGCAUAAGUAGUUGAAAGAUCAAGGUCACACCUAGGGGUCAAAGGUCAAAAGUUGAUGCAGUUUCUCUUGUUUGGGCUGUAACUUAGCCACGGAUGGAGAUGUUCUUAAAUAACUUAACAGGAAUGUUUGCCUGCAAUUCAGUUCUGUCGCCAUCAAAUAGUAUCAUAAUGUUAGUCCUUUUGACAGCUGGCGGGCUCGACAUGUUGCCUGUGGGCAUCUAGUUAUCACAAUAAUGAUAAAAACUAUGUAAAAAUACUAUUUAUUGCUGUAAAGGAAGAACUAUAUAUUUAAUAUGUUUCACAGAAAAGGGAAGUAACUUGCAGGUUACUGCUUAUUACUUUGUUUAUUUGUUGUGAAAGAAAAUGAACAUAUUUUAUAUAAAAUCUGUCACUGUCAUACUAGAAUAAAUGUAUUUUUGAUAACAACCUUUAAACAUUUUUGUUGAAUUGCUCAUGAAAGUGGAGCACUACAUUUGCUCUUUCUUAAUAUUACUUUAUUCAAGCUGAAAGAUGUUUGCAUACAAAUUAAUUCAUUAUUUUGCUGUAACUGUGAUUUAAUCCUACUGGACUGCAUUUUUGGUAUACUGCCGCACACUGAUAAAGGGGAAGUAACUGUGUAGAUACUUUAUUCAGUUAAACAAAUACUAUAUUCCAGUAAGCACCCUUUCUGUGCUGAAGUCAAGUACUGAAUAAUGAUGCACUAUGGUUGAUCCAUCUACAGAUAACAGUGUGGAGAAUGCCUUUACCUGUAGGCUGUAGCUAACUUCUUUUCAUAUGUUGUUUGGCCAGUCAAAUAUGUGGUUUAUGCGGUACUGGUAUGUGUGACCUUAAACUUAGAAACAAAGUUUUCUAGUCAACAUUUGGAGGAGAAUUAUGGGUGAAUGGUGGUGUGUGUACUAACAAGUCAAAGCAGAAGGUUACAGCAUAGUUCUUGAUACUGAAAAUGGUUUCUAGUCAAAAGCUGAAUAGUGAUUCCAACCUACUGAUAGAAUUCAUUGAAAGAUUCAGUAGAAAGUCUCAAAUCAUUUUUAUGUAGUUUGGGCAAAAGCUUAUGCCAAGUUUGCCAAUCAACUGAAAUGAUUUGAUUUGGUGAUAUUAGGUCAUUAGUUGACAUUUAAUGAUUCAAGGGUAAGUAGGUCAAGGUCAGCACUUGUAUUUUUAUCAAUGAUAUGAAGAUCAUAGUCAUAAAGUCGUUAUAUUCACACUAAGAGACUUAAUUUCUACACAACAUAUAUAAUGAAACUUUUAAUGAAACAUAAGUAUGCUUUAUUUAGUUUGUUUUUGUUUAUUAAAUUUAGUUUGUCUCUUAGGAAAUGGAACUACAUUUAGAUUGGUUUUAUUUGGUGGAACAUUUAUGGAUGUGUUUUUCUAUUACAUUUAAACAUUAUAUUCACUAAUGCAUUGGACUGGCUAUAUUUUAUAUUUUCUGCAUUUUGUUUGACAAAUAUUUGUUAUUGUUUUCUUUGUUUUAUGACAGAAAGUUUGAUACACUUCUGUCAAACCAUUGUCAGUUUAUCACAUUGAUUUUAACCAGAGUUAUGAAAUAAAAAGUUUAUCUACUGUU
rnacentral:lncRNA from 1 species